rnacentral:rRNA from 1 species
GCAGAGUUUGAUCCUGGCUCAGAUUGAACGCUGGCGGCAGGCUUAACACAUGCAAGUCGAGCGGUAACAGGAGAAGCUUGCUUCUCGCUGACGAGCGGCGGACGGGUGAGUAAUACUUAGGAAUCUGCCCAGUAGUGGGGGAUAGCUCGGGGAAACUCGAAUUAAUACCGCAUACACCCUACGGGGAAAAGGGGGCGCUUGCGCUCUCGCUAUUGGAUGAGCCUAAGUCGGAUUAGCUAGUUGGUGGGGUAAAGGCCUACCAAGGCGACGAUCUGUAGCUGGUCUGAGAGGAUGAUCAGCCACACCGGGACUGAGACACGGCCCGGACUCCUACGGGAGGCAGCAGUGGGGAAUAUUGGACAAUGGGGGCAACCCUGAUCCAGCCAUGCCGCGUGUGUGAAGAAGGCCUUUUGGUUGUAAAGCACUUUAAGCAGUGAAGAAGACCUAACGGUUAAUACCCGUUAGCGAUGACAUUAGCUGCAGAAUAAGCACCGGCUAACUCUGUGCCAGCAGCCGCGGUAAUACAGAGGGUGCAAGCGUUAAUCGGAAUUACUGGGCGUAAAGCGAGCGUAGGUGGCUUGAUAAGUCAGAUGUGAAAUCCCCGGGCUUAACCUGGGAACUGCAUCUGAUACUGUUAGGCUAGAGUAGGUGAGAGGGAGGUAGAAUUUCAGGUGUAGCGGUGAAAUGCGUAGAGAUCUGAAGGAAUACCGAUGGCGAAGGCAGCCUCCUGGCAUCAUACUGACACUGAGGUUCGAAAGCGUGGGUAGCAAACAGGAUUAGAUACCCUGGUAGUCCACGCCGUAAACGAUGUCUACUAGUCGUUGGGGAACUUGAUUCCUUAGUGACGCAGCUAACGCAAUAAGUAGACCGCCUGGGGAGUACGGCCGCAAGGUUAAAACUCAAAUGAAUUGACGGGGGCCCGCACAAGCGGUGGAGCAUGUGGUUUAAUUCGAUGCAACGCGAAGAACCUUACCUGGUCUUGACAUAUCUAGAAUCCUGCAGAGAUGCGGGAGUGCCUUCGGGAAUUAGAAUACAGGUGCUGCAUGGCUGUCGUCAGCUCGUGUCGUGAGAUGUUGGGUUAAGUCCCGCAACGAGCGCAACCCUUUUCCUUAGUUACCAGCGGUUUGGCCGGGGACUCUAAGGAUACUGCCAGUGACAAACUGGAGGAAGGCGGGGACGACGUCAAGUCAUCAUGGCCCUUACGACCAGGGCUACACACGUGCUACAAUGGUAGGUACAGAGGGCUGCUACACAGCGAUGUGAUGCGAAUCUCAAAAAGCCUAUCGUAGUCCAGAUUGGAGUCUGCAACUCGACUCCACGAAGUCGGAAUCGCUAGUAAUCGCGGAUCAGAAUGCCGCGGUGAAUACGUUCCCGGGCCUUGUACACACCGCCCGUCACACCAUGGGAGUUGAUUGCACCAGAAGUGGGUAGCCUAACUUUUAGAGGGCGCUCACCACGGUGUGGUCGAUGACUGGGGUGAAGUCGUAACAAGGUA